rnacentral:rRNA from 1 species
UGGGGAAUAUUGGACAAUGGGCGAAAGCCUGAUCCAGCCAUGCCGCGUGUGUGAAGAAGGUCUUCGGAUUGUAAAGCACUUUAAGUUGGGAGGAAGGGCAUUAACCUAAUACGUUAGUGUUUUGACGUUACCGACAGACUAAGCACCGGCUAACUCUGUGCCAGCAGCCGCGGUAAUACAGAGGGUGCAAGCGUUAAUCGGAAUUACAGGGCGUAAAGCGCGCGUAGGUGGUUUGUUAAGUUGGAUGUGAAAUCCCCGGGCUCAACCUGGGAACUGCAUUCAAAACUGACUGACUAGAGUAUGGUAGAGGGUGGUGGAAUUUCCUGUGUAGCGGUGAAAUGCGUAGAUAUAGGAAGGAACACCAGUGGCGAAGGCGACCACCUGGACUAAUACUGACACUGAGGUGCGAAAGCGUGGGGAGCAAACA